rnacentral:rRNA from 1 species
GGCCUUGCGCUCUUUGAGCGGCCGAUGUCAGAUUAGCUAGUUGGUGAGGUAAAGGCUUACCAAGGCGACGAUCUGUAGCGGGUCUGAGAGGAUGAUCCGCCACACUGGAACUGAGACACGGUCCAGACUCCUACGGGAGGCAGCAGUGGGGAAUUUUGGACAAUGGGGGCAACCCUGAUCCAGCCAUGCCGCGUGAGUGAAGAAGGCCUUCGGGUUGUAAAGCUCUUUCGGCCGGGAAGAAAUCGCAUGGGCCAAUACCCUGUGUGGAUGACGGUACCGGAAUAAGAAGCACCGGCUAACUACGUGCCAGCAGCCGCGGUAAUACGUAGGGUGCGAGCGUUAAUCGGAAUUACUGGGCGUAAAGCGUGCGCAGGCGGUUUUGUAAGACAGGCGUGAAAUCCCCGGGCUUAACCUGGGAACUGCGUUUGUGACUGCAAGGCUAGAGUACGGCAGAGGGGGGUGGAAUUCCACGUGUAGCAGUGAAAUGCGUAGAGAUGUGGAGGAACACCAAUGGCGAAGGCAGCCCCCUGGGUCGAUACUGACGCUCAUGCACGAAAGCGUGGGUAGCAAACAGGAUUAGAUACCCUGGUAGUCCACGCCCUAAACUAUGUCAACUAGGUGUUGGGUGGGUAAAACCAUUUAGUACCGUAGCUAACGCGUGAAGUUGACCGCCUGGGGAGUACGGCCGCAAGGUUAAAACUCAAAGGAAUUGACGGGGACCCGCACAAGCGGUGGAUGAUGUGGAUUAAUUCGAUGCAACGCGAAAAACCUUACCUACCCUUGACAUGCCAGGAACUUGCCAGAGAUGGCUUGGUGCCCGAAAGGGAGCCUGGACACAGGUGCUGCAUGGCUGUCGUCAGCUCGUGUCGUGAGAUGUUGGGUUAAGUCCCGCAACGAGCGCAACCCUUGUCGUUAAUUGCCAUCAUUUAGUUGGGCACUUUAACGAGACUGCCGGUGACAAACCGGAGGAAGUUGGGGAUGACGUCAAGUCCUCAUGGCCCUUAUGGGUAGGGCUUCACACGUCAUACAAUGGUCGGUACAAAGGGUUGCCAAGCCGCGAGGCGGAGCCAAUCCCAGAAAGCCGAUCGUAGUCCGGAUUGCAGGCUGCAACUCGCCUGCAUGAAGUCGGAAUCGCUAGUAAUCGUGGAUCAGCAUGUCACGGUGAAUACGUUCCCGGGUCUUGUACACACCGCCCGUCACACCAUGGGAGCGGGUUCCGCCAGAAGUAGGUAGCCUAACCGCAAGGGGGGCGCUUACCACGGUGGGGUUCGUGA